UGCGUAGGCGGCCUAUUAAGUCAGUGGUGAAAGGUGUCAGCUUAACUGAUGACGUGCCAUUGAAACUGAUAGGCUUGAGUACAGACGAGGUAGGCGGAAUUUAUGGUGUAGCGGUGAAAUGCAUAGAUACCAUAAAGAACACCAAUUGCGAAGGCAGCUCACUAGACUGAGACUGACGCUGAGGCACGAAAGCGUGGGGAGCGAACAGGAUUAGAUACCCUGGUAGUCC
rnacentral:rRNA from 1 species